rnacentral:rRNA from 1 species
UACAGAGGGUGCAAGCGUUAAUCGGAAUUACUGGGCGUAAAGCGUGUGUAGGUGGUAAGAUAAGUUAGAUGUGAAAUCCCCGGGCUUAACCUGGGAACUGCGUUUAAGACUGUUUAACUAGAGUACUGUAGAGGAUAGUGGAAUUUCCAGUGUAGCGGUGAAAUGCGUAGAUAUUGGAAGGAACACCAGCGGCGAAGGCGACUAUCUGGACAGAUAAUGACACUGAGACACGAAAGCGUGGGGAGCAAACAGG